rnacentral:rRNA from 1 species
UCAGGAUGAACGCUGGCGGCGUGCUUAACACAUGCAAGUCGAACGAUGAUGCCCACUUGUGGGUGGAUUAGUGGCGAACGGGUGAGUAACACGUGAGUAACCUGCCCUUGACUCUGGGAUAAGCCUGGGAAACUGGGUCUAAUACCGGAUAUGACCUUCCAUCGCAUGGUGGUUGGUGGAAAGCUUUUGUGGUUUUGGAUGGACUCGCGGCCUAUCAGCUUGUUGGUGGGGUAAUGGCCUACCAAGGCGACGACGGGUAGCCGGCCUGAGAGGGUGACCGGCCACACUGGGACUGAGACACGGCCCAGACUCCUACGGGAGGCAGCAGUGGGGAAUAUUGCACAAUGGGCGCAAGCCUGAUGCAGCGACGCCGCGUGAGGGAUGACGGCCUUCGGGUUGUAAACCUCUUUCAGUAGGGAAGAAGCGUAAGU